GCGGGCCCCGAGGUGGGUGCUUCCAUUAUUUAUUGAGGCUUAAAAGGCGUUUCGUAAGCCGGCCCUCGUAAAAUCCCUUGGGGUAAAAUCGGGGCAGCUUCAAACUGUUUCGAAUUCCGAAGGAGACUGCGGAGGGCUUCGGGGACCGGGGGAGAGGUCAAGAGGUACUUUCGGGGGUAGGGGGUAAAAAUCCCUGUAAUCCUUCGAAAGGACCACCAGUGGCGAAAGGCGUCUGACUAGAACGGAUCCCGACGGUGAGGGACGAAAGCCCUGGGGCGCAAACGGGAUUAGAUACCCCGGUAGUCCAGGGUGUAAACGCUGCGGUCUUGGUGUCGGAGCUCCUACGGGGGCGUCCGGUGCCGGAGAGAAAUUGUUAAUCCUGCCGCUUGGGGAGUACGGUCGCAAGACUGAAACUUAUCGGAUUUGUCGGGAGAGCACCGCAACGGGAGGAGCGUGCGGUUCAAUUGGAUUCAACGCCGGAAGGCGAAUCUGCAG
rnacentral:rRNA from 1 species